GCGGCGUUGGAGUCAAGAUGGAGGAGUACGCGCGAGAGCCUUGCCCAUGGCGAAUUGUGGAUGACUGUGGUGGGGCCUUUACGAUGGGUACCAUUGGUGGUGGUAUCUUUCAAGCAAUCAAAGGUUUUCGCAAUUCUCCAGUGGGAGUAAACCACAGACUACGAGGGAGUUUGACAGCUAUUAAAACCAGGGCUCCACAGUUAGGAGGUAAGCAGAAUUUUCAUUUUAACUGACCUAUUUUUUUCUGUUUAUUUGAAGAUAGAGCUAUUUUUAUAUUUAGAUUACAACAAUUAGUGACUUUAGUUUGGUCUAACAGUUUGUCAUAAACAUAUAUCCCUAUAGUUUCUUCUUGAUUUGUAGUUUGUUUGAAAAAUUAACCUGAAUUAUGAUACCCAUUUGAAAAUCUUGUCUCUGUCCUUCAGAUACUCAGUGAUUUUUUUUUUUUCCUUCUCCAAAAGAAAGACAGUUAUUUAAAGCUCAGGUUUGAGGCCGGGCGUGGGGCUCACGCCUGUAAUCCCAGCACUUUGGGAGGCCAAGGUGGGCAGAUCACCUGAAGUCGGGAGUUUGAGACCAGCCUGGCCAACAUGGAGAAACCCCAUCUCUACUAAAAAUACAAAAUUAACCCAGCAUGGUGGCGCAUGCCUGUAAUCCCAGCUACU
rnacentral:sRNA from 1 species